rnacentral:rRNA from 1 species
UACGUAGGAGGCGAGCGUUGUCCGGAGUUACUGGGCGUAAAGCGCACGCAGGCGGUCAGAUCAGUCUGGAGUGACAGUCGUCGGCUUAACCGACGAAGUGUUCUGGAAACUGUCUGACUUGAGGGCUUCAGAGGGACACGGAAUCCGGGUGGAGUGGUGAAAUGCGUAGAUAUCGCUUGGAACGCCAAAGGUGAAAACAGGUUGCUGGGGUUGUGCCGACGCUGAGACACGAAAGCCAGGGAGCAAACGGG